AUUUUGAAGAUCACAAAGUUUGAAAUUCAGCGGUGAAAAGAUGAAUGAACCCGCAACCAUCAUCAUCCGUGACAACCUUUGGCGUCCUACAACACAUGCAAUAUAAUUAGUUUUUCUUCUUGGUCAUACAUUUCAUCAUUUGCAUGAUUCAUCACAAUAUGUGUAUUAGUUACUCUUCUCAGGUCAUUCUCUCUUUCAAAACGAAACUAGAAGCAGUAGUUACCGAGAUCUGACCCUACUAUUCUGCCCAGCAGGUUCCAUUUGCGUGGAAGAGGCGGAAUAAGAGCCAAGAUCUUUUGCUCCUGAGGGUUGGUGAGCCUACCUGUAAGGGUAAGUUCAUUGUCUUUGAUUAGAGCUGAGUUGUCCAGGCGUGGAGCUUUAAUUCUCUUGAUACUCUUCCGGAUUCUUCUCUCAUCUGAUGCUUUUCUUUUUCAGCUUCUGCAAGUCUUCGAGCCAUGGGUUCAGCUGGAGGAGUUUCUUGUCGACUCCUAGCAAAACUAGAGGGACUCUGGAGACUGGAAAUCUUCCCUAGAGGGAAUUCUUGCAAGCUAGAAUGAUAAGGCGCGAGAUGAUAGACAUAAUUCGAAACUUAUUGCAACUUGACCAGGCUUGAGAUUGGAUCCAGAGAUUGAGAAAACUCUUGCGGAGGUGAAGAAAUUUUCCUGGAGGACGCUUCUUUUAGUAAAAGACUAGGACUUUCACUUGGUUGCUUGUUAGCGUCCAAUGGAAGAAGAGAGUAGCCGCUUUCCAAGCAAGAACCGCU
rnacentral:lncRNA from 1 species